rnacentral:misc_RNA from 1 species
GGAAACUCAUAGUUUUCACAAUUCUCCUAAUAAUUUAUUGAGCUGAUCUUUCGUGAUAUUAGUAGUAUGACUUCUCCUAAAUAAAUAAAUAUGAUUAGUGCUUAAUGUAACAUGAUAUAGGAAAGAAACAUGUCAUCGAAGAGAGUAGUUUGCUUCCAAAUAAUCCCAUUCCACGUCGUUUGGUAUGUAGAAUUUGCAAGUUGCAAAAUUAGUUUGGCCAAAUCAGAAUGAGAUUUUAACAUUUAGAUUCAGAAUUGUUCAGUAAUUCAAAUCUAACCUUUUACCAAAAGUGGUCUAAGUUCCAAGCUCCCUAAUAGGUCAACUCACAAAAGGAUCACAUUGGACUACCACCUCUAG